AUUUUGUUUUCAUCUAUCAAAUUUGUUGAAUUUUUUGUAUGUAUAAUUUUCAAAUUUUUUUAAGUUUAUUUAAAGUUAUCGUAAAUAUUAAAGUAUAAUAAAGUUAAAGUAAUUAUGAAUAAUCUACGUCAAAUAUUUAGUAUGCGUACAUUAAUCGCAAUACAGCAAAAUUUGUUUGCUUCAAAUAUCGUAACACAAGUUUUCAGUCAUAAUCCACAUUUUACAUAUGCAUAUCAAUUUUUAAGACCAUCAUAUUGUGAAUUUCCGAGAUAUUUAGCACAGCUAACUAACGUGACCAAAAAAGAUGAUAAUGAUAGCAAAGAUCAACCAGGAAAUAAUUCUGUGCCAUUGGCGCAAUUAGAAUCAAAACUACAAUUAGUUUAUACCUGCAAAAUUUGCAAUACAAGAAGUAUAAAAAUAAUUAGUAAACAGGCUUAUCAAAAAGGUGUAGUUAUUGUGAAAUGUGAUAGUUGCAAAAAUAAUCAUCUAAUAGCAGAUAAUUUGGGCUGGUUUGCCGAUAGAAAAAUUAAUAUUGAAGAUAUUUUGGCAGAAAAAGGAGAAUCAAUAACAAAAAUUUCAGGAACACAUAAUGGAGAAUUUGUAUUAAACGAAAAUCACGAAAAAUAAAACAGUUUUCUGGUGUCAAAUGAAAACUUGUAUGGAAAAUUAGUUGCAUAUACAUAUUUCAUUAUUUGUUGUUAUCUAUGUAUGCAUAGUGUAUACAUACUGUUUUUUGCUUAGAUUUGAUUUAACAUAUUAAUUGUAGUUACCGAGACUUAUACAUAAAUGUAUAUAUUAUGUACCUAUACGGACAUCGGACUCUAAAUAAUGGCUAUGCAUUAGAAAUUGAUAUUUAUGGCUUGAUGAAAUAAAAACAUGCAAAUCAUGUUUAUUAGAGUAACUGCCACAUUAUUCGAUUUCGGUAUAUAUUAGCUGAGAAUUUAUUUAUACAUACAUCAAGAUUGAGAAAAAUUUUGGAACAAUAUAAUAUUCUUAUUAUAUAAA